rnacentral:rRNA from 1 species
GACGAACGCUGGCGGCGUGCUUAACACAUGCAAGUCGAACGGAAAGGCCCUGCUUUUGUGGGGUGCUCGAGUGGCGAACGGGUGAGUAACACGUGAGUAACCUGCCCUUGACUUUGGGAUAACUUCAGGAAACUGGGGCUAAUACCGGAUAGGAGCUCCUGCUGCAUGGUGGGGGUUGGAAAGUUUCGGCGGUUGGGGAUGGACUCGCGGCUUAUCAGCUUGUUGGUGGGGUAGUGGCUUACCAAGGCUUUGACGGGUAGCCGGCCUGAGAGGGUGGCCGGCCACAUUGGGACUGAGAUACGGCCCAGACUCCUACGGGAGGCAGCAGGGGGGAAUAUUGCACAAUGGGCGGAAGCCUGAUGCAGCAACGCCGCGUGCGGGAUGACGGCCUUCGGGUUGUAAACCGCUUUCGCCUGUGACGAAGCGUGAGUGACGGUAAUGGGUAAAGAAGCACCGGCUAACUACGUG